UGGGGAAUUUUGGACAAUGGGCGCAAGCCUGAUCCAGCCAUGCCGCGUGCGGGAAGAAGGCCUUCGGGUUGUAAACCGCUUUUGUCAGGGAAGAAAUCUUCUGAGUUAAUACCUCGGGGAGGAUGACGGUACCUGAAGAAUAAGCACCGGCUAACUACGUGCCAGCAGCCGCGGUAAAUACGUAGGGUGCAAGCGUUAAUCGGAAUUACUGGGCGUAAAGCGUGCGCAGGCGGUUUUGUAAGACAGAGGUGAAAUCCCCGGGCUCAACCUGGGAACUGCCUUUGUGACUGCAAGGCUUGAGUGCGGCAGAGGGGGAUGGAAUUCCGCGUGUAGCAGUGAAAUGCGUAGAUAUGCGGAGGAACACCGAUGGCGAAGGCAAUCCCCUGGGCCUGCACUGACGCUCAUGCACGAAAGCGU
rnacentral:rRNA from 1 species